UACGAAGGGGGCUAGCGUUGCUCGGAAUCACUGGGCGUAAAGGGUGCGUAGGCGGGUUUUUAAGUCAGAGGUGAAAUCCUGGAGCUCAACUCCAGAACUGCCUUUGAUACUGAGGAUCUUGAGUACGGGAGAGGUGAGUGGAACUGCGAGUGUAGAGGUGAAAUUCGUAGAUAUUCGCAAGAACACCAGUGGCGAAGGCGGCUCACUGGCCCGUAACUGACGCUGAGGCACGAAAGCGUGGGGAGCAAACAGG
rnacentral:rRNA from 1 species